AGCUGAUCCAAAGGUAGUGAGUUAUCUCAAUUAAUUGUUCACAGUCACAGUCAGUUACAGAUCGAACUCCUUGUUCUACUCUUUCCUCCUUCUCAUUACUGUAUUGACUAGUCUUUA
rnacentral:Y_RNA from 1 species